rnacentral:rRNA from 1 species
AUUGAACGCUGGCGGCAGGCUUAACACAUGCAAGUCGAGCGGAGAUGAGGUGCUUGCACCUUAUCUUAGCGGCGGACGGGUGAGUAAUGCUUAGGAAUCUGCCUAUUAGUGGGGGACAACAUUCCGAAAGGAAUGCUAAUACCGCAUACGUCCUACGGGAGAAAGCAGGGGAUCUUCGGACCUUGCGCUAAUAGAUGAGCCUAAGUCGGAUUAGCUAGUUGGUGGGGUAAAGGCCUACCAAGGCGACGAUCUGUAGCGGGUCUGAGAGGAUGAUCCGCCACACUGGGACUGAGACACGGCCCAGACUCCUCCGGGAGGCAGCAGUGGGGAAUAUUGGACAAUGGGGGGAACCCUGAUUCAGCCAUGCCGCGUGUGUGAAGAAGGCCUUAUGGUUGUAAAGCACUUUAAGCGAGGAGGAGGCUACUGAGACUAAUACCCUUGGAUAGUGGACGUUACUCGCAGAAUAAGCACCGGCUAACUCUGUGCCAGCCGCCGCCGUAACAC